ACCACCACCACCACACCAACACCCCACCAACAAAUCCCCCAAAAGGAAGAAAAGAAAAAAAAAAUUCCCAUUUUCAAUAUUUACUAUUUGGGCUGUGGAUUCUUGAUCAGAUCGACCCAUCGUCACUGACUGCCUCCCUCAUCAACUGUGGCUGAGAAGAAAUCAGAGACAAGGUAUAUGAUGAGAAGCAAAAUCUGGUGACCAUCACCGUGGUGUGCUGUAGCCCGGAGAAAAUCCGCGACAAAUUAUGUUGCAAGGGUGGCCAAGUCAUUAAGAGCAUUGAGAUGUCGGAGCCAGAUAAGAAAAAGAUCCAGCCGCGCCAGGAUCCUGAAGAGGGCGAGAAGUCCAAGCAGUCGAAGAAGCCUGCGGAGACCGGAAAACCCUUAGGUAGACCAGUUGAAAAGCCGGGCAGACUAGUUGAAAAGGCCAAGAUGCCGGCUGAUCACGAAAACCGAACCCCCCCUAGUUAGAAAGUCAAUUAAACCUUUUCGUUAGUUGUUUACAAAUUAGUCAAUAAAACUAUAGAACUACCACUAUUAUCUCUAGUUUCUAUUGUAACUAAAUAUCGAACUAGUGAUUUUUUUGAUGAGUUAA